ACUGGAUAUCAAAAGGAUCUGGAGCUUCAAAAACUGGGGAAGAAAAUAAGGUGAAGUAAAUGCAAUUAGCCUUGCAUCCAUUGCUGCCUGUGGCCUAGGCUUCAUCUUCUCUCAAUCUAUUCACAUAUGGCAGCACAAGUUGGACGCCUGAAAAAGGCCAAGAAGUACAAAUCUCCAUAGGAAGAUAGCGAUCAAGAUUAGAAGAUCCGAUGCCAUAGAGACCACCUUGUCAUCCGAUUAACUGAGAAUAAGAAGUAUUUAGGCUGAAAUUUUGGGGAAAAAAAAAUUAAGAUUUUAAUAAUAACUAGGGAAUGUAAGUAGGGGUGAACAUUAUUCGAUUUGAAUCGAAUAUAUCGCAUGGAAUCGCCAUAAUUCAGUAAUUGAGUUAGGUUUUCAAGAUGAUUCAAUUUGGUUUAGUUUUGUAUUUUAAGAAUUUUGAUUAUUUCGGUUCG
rnacentral:misc_RNA from 1 species